CGCCUGUUUUGCUGACCAGUCAGCCA
rnacentral:misc_RNA from 1 species